CUANNAUGCAGUCGAACGAUGAAGCCCUUCGGGGUGGAUUAGUGGCGAACGGGUGAGUAACACGUGGGCAAUCUGCCCUUCACUCUGGGACAAGCCCUGGAAACGGGGUCUAAUACCGGAUAACACCGGCUUCCGCAUGGGAGCUGGUUGAAAGCUCCGGCGGUGAAGGAUGAGCCCGCGGCCUAUCAGCUUGUUGGUGGGGUAAUGGCCCACCAAGGCGACGACGGGUAGCCGGCCUGAGAGGGCGACCGGCCACACUGGGACUGAGACACGGCCCAGACUCCUACGGGAGGCAGCAGUGGGGAAUAUUGCACAAUGGGCGAAAGCCUGAUGCAGCGACGCCGCGUGAGGGAUGACGGCCUUCGGGUUGUAAACCUCUUUCAGCAGGGAAGAAGCGAAAGUGACGGUACCUGCAGAAGAAGCGCCGGCUAACUACGUGCCAGCAGCCGCGGUAAUACGUAGGGCGCAAGCGUUGUCCGGAAUUAUUGGGCGUAAAGAGCUCGUAGGCGGCUUGUCACGUCGGGUGUGAAAGCCCGGGGCUUAACCCCGGGUCUGCAUCCGAUACGGGCAGGCUAGAGUGUGGUAGGGGAGAUCGGAAUUCCUGGUGUAGCG
rnacentral:rRNA from 1 species